UUGGAGGGCAAGUCUGGUGCCAGCAGCCGCGGUAAUUCCAGCUCCAAUAGCGUAUAUUAAAGUUGUUGCAGUUAAAAAGCUCGUAGUUGAAUUUCGGGAUUGGCGCAUCGGUCGUGCCUCACGGGGUAUGAACUGGUGCAGUCAAUUUCUCACCUUCUGGAGAACCGCGAUGUCCUUAAUUGGAUGCCGCGGGGAACCAGGACCUUUACUUUGAAAAAAUUAGAGUGUUUAAAGCAGGCAUUUUUGCUUGAAUACAUUAGCAUGGAAUAAUAAAAUAGGACGGCAUGGUUCUAUUUUGUUGGUUUCUAGCACCACCGUAAUGAUUAAUAGGGAUAGUUGGGGGCAUUAGUAUUCAGUUGUCAGAGGUGAAAUUCUUGGAUUUAUUGAAGACUAACUACUGCGAAAGCAUUUGCCAAGGAUGUUCUCAUUAAUCAAGAACGAAAGUUAGGGGAUCGAAGACGAUCAGAUACCGUCGUAGUCUUAACCAUAAACUAUGCCGACUAGGAAUCAGACGAUGUUAAUUUUUUAAUGACUCGUUUGGCACCUUACGGGAAACCAAAGUGUUUGGGUUC
rnacentral:rRNA from 1 species